UUGAAAAUUUUUGUUGCGUGAAAGAUUGAUCGAACACUUUUUGGCAAUACCCUUGGCAUGAACCACAUGUACUGUAAUGAGAAAUUGAGCAUGUGGGAGCGAGGGUAGAAGGAAGCAGGAGCGAGACUUUCUGUAAUACGUUUGCGCCAUUUUGUAGUUUUACCUUUCACGUUUACACGGUCUUCCAAGAAGAGCCUGGAGAACCAUGGCGGGUAGCUACUUGGAUUACUUGGAAUAUUGACUGUUGGGCCAUUUUUUGUUGGGUUAGCAGUCACUUGGUAUGUAGAUUG